UACGUAGGUGGCAAGCGUUGUUCGGAAUUACUGGGCGUAAAGCGCACGUAGGCGGCUUUGUAAGUUAGAGGUGAAAGCCCAGGGCUCAACCCUGGAAUUGCCUUUAAGACUGCAUCGCUAGAAUUGUGGAGAGGUAAGUGGAAUUCCGAGUGUAGAGGUGAAAUUCGUAGAUAUUCGGAAGAACACCAGUGGCGAAGGCGACUUACUGGACACAUAUUGACGCUGAGGUGCGAAAGCGUGGGGAGCAAACAGG
rnacentral:rRNA from 1 species